UACGUAGGGUGCAAGCGUUGUCCGGAAUUAUUGGGCGUAAAGAGCUUGUAGGCGGUUUGUCGCGUCUGCUGUGAAAUUUCGGGGCUCAACCCCGAACUUGCAGUGGGUACGGGCAGACUAGAGUGUGGUAGGGGAGACUGGAAUUCCUGGUGUAGCGGUGAAAUGCGCAGAUAUCAGGAGGAACACCUGAGGUGAAGACGGGUUGCUGGGCUGACACUGACGCUGAGGCGCGAAAGCCAGGGGAGCAAACGGG
rnacentral:rRNA from 1 species